AAAGGAGAUAAGAAAACCUUCUGGAUUGGAAAGGGGCUCUGAUCCAUACCCCAAGAGAGGGUUGUUGAAUCUCUUGCAAGAAAGAAUUUGGUUGGAGAACACAGUUGGAUUUCUAUUCUUGAAAGAGCUUUAUUUUGGAGAGGAGACCUAUUUCUAAAGGAAAAUUGAACAGAAGCUUGAUGACUUCCCAAGAACAAUUUGGUAGAAAAGAGUGCUGAUGAAGAAGAGAGGACAACACAAAAGAAGACACAGAAGCACCAUGGGCAAACCAUGGAACAAGAACUGGAAUGAAUAUCUAUUCCACUACCUGAACUAAAGACUGCAGACGGAGAAAGGGAAGACAGGGGUUUAACUGGCAAUUCAAAGUGAGGUGAUCAGCCUUCUGUUACAGAGUUAACUGUGUGUGAAAGAAUGUAAGAUUCAUGUAUACAUCUGACAGUGACAGCUGUAUGGCCACAGCUUCACAACUGGAGCUGCUGAUAAGACACCUACUCGGAGUAAUGAUGCAUAAUAUGGAAAUGCAAUAACCCAGACCUCGGUCUUGCUCUGUUGCCCAGGCUGUAGUGCAGAUGCAAGAUCAUAGCUCACUGUAGCCUCUAACUCCUGGGCUCAAGUGAUCCUCCCUCUUCGGCCUCCUAAAAUGCUGGGAUUACAGUGAUCAGGUUUUUCAUCUUGCCCAUCAUCUUCUGGACCUCAAAUACCUGCUGAAGAUGAGAUUUUGCCUUAACUUAGUGGGCUUGAACUCUGUACUGAUGAUAUGAAGCAACCCUGCCCUACCUGGUGGAGAAGGAAAAUGUAAGAUCUAUGGACCUUACUUUAGGAUGAACUUUUAAAAACAAAUAUGAAAUAUUCCCAGGCAGUUCCAAAACUUGUGUUUUAUAUGUUAAAAUGUGUUUACACUAAUAUAAAAUUUAACUGUCUUUUUAUUAUUGCGAACAAACCAAGUAAUACCAAUUAAUUGAACUGUGCUUCUUAAACAUUAUUUUAAAAUUAACUGUUAUUAGUUUACUUGGCUCAGGCUUUCACCUGAUCCUUGGCCUUUGUUUAUGUGUCCACAUCUUCAAGGUUAAAUAAUUUAAGUUGUCAUUAUGUUCUAUGGUUAAAAUUUGCAUAUCAUGAGUGCUACUUUUCAUUUCCAGGUCAACUUCUCUCCCAAGUCUGGUGUAGUCCGAGGAAUUACUCCCUAGAGUGAAAAUUUAAAAAGCAAACCUUGUUUCAAGUAUCUAAGCUAUCAUUUUACAUUGGAGUACUUUAUGAAUUUUUUUUUAUUUGGAUCUCCUUCGAGAAGUCCCCCUAUAAUUGCUUAUUGAAUAACUUCAAGAGUGUGUUAUUAUUAUUUUUUCUAAUCGGGUAUCUUUAGAACCAUAACAGGUAUUAUCUUCUAAGAUGUAGUUAUAUAGGGCCCAGAUCACUGCUACCAGAUAAGACACAAAAGGAAAAUCUGAAGAGACCCAUAUAGCUCCACCUACAGAGACAGGAGGAAAGGGAAUUUGAAAUGUGGAAUCAAAAGCUGGAGGCCAUAACAGCAGAAAGCAGCAACAAUUUUGGAUGAUGGAUUCUCAGUAACUUAUAUGUGGAGCACAUCCCCUGAGACUUCAAGGGAAGUAACCAAAUGGGAAAUGGUAAGGUCUUAAGUCUGGAUUGAGAGUCAAAGUUCAGAGGAGGAAUGGCAAGAGUGAAACAUAGUAUCUUUUCUUAGCAGGACUGAGAUCUAAGCAACACACUGGAAUCCUAAACAAAGGGGAAACGUUACAGGAGUGCAGGUGGGGUUGAGCUUCAGGUAUGUAUCUUAGUUCUCAGAACAGGACAUAAGGUUACUUAAGCCCAGCUUCCAUAGGGUCAGGCAAAACAGCUUGAACAUCCCCAAUCUACAAAUCCAAAAUCUGAAAUGCUCCAAAAUCCAAGACUUUUGAGCACCAACAUGAUGCCACAAUUGAAAAAUUCCACACAUAACUACUUAACACAACUUCGUUUCAUGUGCAAAAUUAUUUACAAUAUUGUAUAAAAUUACCUUUAGGCUAUGAAUAUAAGGUGCAUGUGAAACAUAAGUGAAUUUUAUGUUUAGACUAGGGCCCCAAGCCCCAGAUAUCUCAUUAUGUAUGUACAAAUAUUCCAAAAUCCAAAAGCAUUCAAAGUCCAAACACUUCUGUCCCCAAGUAUUUUGAAUGAGGGAGAGACAACCUGUAGUUCCAAAAAUUGCUUCUGCUUGAAGCCCCGUUUGGGUCUGGGGAUAAAUUUUCAUGUACAUGCUAGCCAUGGGGAGUGGAGGCAAAUAGAAUAUUUCCUGUAACAUAGCACCUGUGGUCCUCUGAUUACAUUUGCACUAAUUCCUAAAGUAUCACAGGAACGUGUUCUCUUAACUCGGUGUCCCUAGAAACAGAACAUGAGAGAAGGAUUAAGGAAGUUCCUCCGGGAGCAACAGUGACGGAGUGGAAGAAGACGACAACAAACAAGGGAUCUUGCUCUGUCACCCAGGCUGGAGUGCAGUGACGCAAUUAUAGCUCACUGCAGCAUUGAACGCCUGGGCUCAAGCAAUCCUCCAGCCUCAGUCUCUCGAGUAGCUGGGACUACAGGUGGAUAUCAACAUGCCCAGGAUGUUGCAGCAAAGAAUCAAGAGGACGCCUUGUUGAAAGCUAAGCCUGUUGCUGGAGCAAACAGAUCUUUUGCCAGAGCAAUGACUCAACACACCACAAGGCAACUGAGUCUUGCUGCUCUCCAGAGACUGUGGUUAGAAAUACGUCACCAGCGGGAGCAUCAUUAAUCACAAAUGUAGGAGUGACAGUCAGUUUCUUGACCUCAUUGAGACAGGCAGGGAGGUCAUAGCUUCAAGCAGUUCAUUCUUCAGGCAAGGAAAACUAUUGGGAAGAUUUCCUUUUUGUUAUCGCUGGCAUUUUUAUUUAAUCCCAUCAUUUUCCCCACAGUCUGGGCAGAAGUACAAAAGCUUCAGACAGGCACAUUCUGCCCCUUUCUCUUUUUCUCGCUGCCAAAAGUAACCUUGGCAAUUGAUGGUUUAGGGAAAAACUACCACGCCCCCUUUCCUCAAUCUUAUUUUCUCUCAUCCAUCCUUUCUUAUUCUCUUUUUUUCUUCGCACUUCUCUUGGGGUCUAAAGAUCAGGAGGGUAGAAAGAGUCAUCUUAAUGGAGCCUGAUGUUAGCAGCCCUGCCUAUUUCUCUGUAUUGAUUGUAGUGGAAGGUUAGGAAGAAAUCUUCCCUGCAUGAGGGCACAUAUGUCCCUCCCGCAGUCGUCAGCCUGGUUGCUGUUGGAAGAGGGCUGGUGUUGUUAUUAGAGCCUGUCACAGCCAAUGAAUUUCAUUCCAGGCCCUACACAGGAAACUUCAUAAAGGAAAAACACCAAGAAUGAAAAGAAUUCAAGAACCUUGGUUUGUAUAUCUGAGUGCACAUUAGGACAUUGAAAGCACAUUUAAUUUCAUGCAGAAAAUCAUCAUGAUAUCAUCACAAAAGACAGUUUUGAAAUCAGAAAGUGAAUACGGUAAAAGGAGAUUUAAAUCAUUCACUGCAUUACUACUGUGCCAUGCACAUAAUAGGCCUUUGGGGAUACAGAAUUUAAGAUGCUGGAUGUAGUCCUACAUUUGUAGUCUGUACAUUCCUGGGGGAGGGAGAUGGAUAAAUAAACAAGUUAAAAAAAAAAGAAGAAAAUUUAAAAUAGAGACAAGAAAAAUAAAAGAAAUAAAAGAAUGAGAUGUGGAAGCAUGGUGGUGGAGUAAGUACCUCCCCAAGAAAGUACAAUAUAAAUAUAUACAUGUUUAUGGGUACUGCAUGGAAAUUUAAAGAAAAUUCUGAAUGUGCUAAUUUUUCAUUAAAAGGGAAAGAAAAUUAUUGAUAUUUAUCAUUAUUCAAAGGAAAUGGUUGUUUUUCAAGAAAAACAGUUUUAGAUUAGUUCCUAACACAUUUGGUUGGAUCUUUCUUUGUUUCUUUCAUUCUUUAUUUCUUUUUCUUUCUUUCUUUCUCUUUCUUUCUUUCUUCUUUCUCUCUCUCUCUUUCUUUCUUAAAACCAAACCAACCAAUAAAACAAGAAAAACCCCAAAACCUCAUUUUAGUUCAGAUCUAGUCUAUAAAUAAGCAGGGUUUUAUGUUUCUUAGAAUUUAAUUAAUCCCUAGUAAAUUACUAUCUUAUGAGGGAUUUAGAUUUUUGUGUAAUGCUGUGCCCUUUAUUCCAAUCCAAAGAGUAUCCAUGUAUUUGGGGUUAUAACACCAGUGUCAAAAAGUGAGAGUAUCUGUUUACAUGAUGUGUCACACUUUUUCUCUCUCCACAAAUUUGCUUUAUUUUAAAAGCAAUUAAUGGGCUUAGCCAUUAUCUAUCUUCAAAGAGAUCUGAACAAUUAGGGCUAUCCUACUUUUUCCUUUUUUUCCCCCAUUUCUGAAAGAUACUACCUUUACCCUUGCUGUCAUUAAGAUGUGUUGCAAGAUCUCUCUGAGGUCAUGCUGUAAAGAUUUUAGCCUUAGAAAAUUAAAGCUUAUGAUAAUAUGUAUCACAGAAACUUCAAAGAUCCACAUUAUCAAAUAUAGUGAUUUCAAACCUCAAUUAACGUAGUUUUAUGCAUGAAUACAAACAAACACCUGAACCUAUUAAGACAGUGAAUUAAUGUAUACAUAAAUAAUUGUCAGUGGAAAAACAGAAGGGUUUAAUGUAAAUCUAUGGCUGAGGUUUAUUUAUUUUGUGGAUAUUUUUACUUUUUUAGUUUUCUUAGUGACAGACAGAUACAUAAAUGUUACAUACACAUUACGUGUUGAAAUAUAUGUCCUCUUCUUUCUUGAUUGUGUCAGUUCUAUUUAGUUUAUUUUUCAGAGGCUGCUGAGAGAAUUACUUCUUUAAGAAAUUGGGGAUUGAAGAUUCUGAGUGUUUUUUAGUCAGGCUCAUUACCCCUCUAUCUUUAAAUGAAAAUAGUAGGAUCAACAAGGCAUCUCAAAGGGCAUUUUGACUAUUUAUCAGAAAAUUGUCUAGGUGGUUAUUUUUGCACAUGAGAAAUUUUCUAUCUAGCAGUUGACUAUUGCUUAAUUAACAAUUAAGACUAUUGCUUAAUUAAUUAAUAAACAAAAAAAAGUUUAAUGAUGGGAGUGCCCAAGAAUAUUUGGAGGAAGUUUUUUACCAAAUUCAGUACUACUACACUUUCCCUAAAAGAUGUCACUGAAAAAACUUCAUAUUCCAUGUUGUCCUUCUAUUACUGCAAAAUAAGUGUUAUUGUGGAGGUUAGCUUUGCACAUGAACACAAAGCCCUGAACAUAUAUGGUGAAAGUGAAUUAAUUUAUUUAAGACACUUCUGUUUUUCUCAGAGAGCAAGUGGGAAUGUAAAGCAAACUUUUCCUUUCUUCAAAGAAUCUUUAAGGACAGCAAAUUGAAUUACAGGAUUCGUUACAUAAAUAGAUUUGUUUUUCAUUGGAGGGGGCAGAAUUUUAUAGGAGAAUGUGUUUAGGGUGAGAUUUGUGUGGUCACAGGAUGAAAAAGGAGGAAGAAACAUAAGGAAAAUUAUUUAUAGAAAACAAUCAGUAAAUUUGAGUCUUGACCUCAAGUUGUUUAUGUCAACAGAAACAUAAUUUGUGGACCACCUUAAUUAUGUUUUGCUUUCCUGUUUCUGUCUGGCUGCUUUAUUUGUCCACAUUAAAGAAGGAUUUUCCAUACUA
rnacentral:lncRNA from 1 species